UACGUAGGGUGCAAGCGUUGUCCGGAAUUAUUGGGCGUAAAGAGCUCGUAGGCGGUCUGUUGCGUCGGCUGUGAAAACCCGGGGCUCAACCCCGGGCCUGCAGCCGAUACGGGCAGACUAGAGUUCGGCAGGGGAGACUGGAAUUCCUGGUGUAGCGGUGAAAUGCGCAGAUAUCAGGAGGAACACCGGUGGCGAAGGCGGGUCUCUGGGCCGAUACUGACGCUGGGGGAGCGAAAGCGUGGGGAGCGAACAGG
rnacentral:rRNA from 1 species